rnacentral:rRNA from 1 species
CGGGGUGGAGUAAUGUCUGGGAAACUAGCCUGAUGAGGGGGGAUAGCUACUGGAAACGGUAGCUAAUACCGCAUAACGUCGCAAGACCAAAGAGGGGGACCUUCGGGCCUCUUGCCAUCGGAUGUGCCCAGAUGGGAUUAGCUAGUAGGUGGGGUAACGGCUCACCUAGGCGACGAUCCCUAGCUGGUCUGAGAGGAUGACCAGCCACACUGGAACUGAGACACGGUCCAG